rnacentral:rRNA from 1 species
UACGUAGGGUGCAAGCGUUGUCCGGAAUUAUUGGGCGUAAAGAGCUCGUAGGCGGUUUGUCGCGUCUGCUGUGAAAACUCGGGGCUUAACCCCGGGCCUGCAGUGGGUACGGGCAGACUAGAGUGCGGUAGGGGAGACUGGAAUUCCUGGUGUAGCGGUGAAAUGCGCAGAUAUCGGGAGGAACAUCAGUGGCGAAGGCGGCUGUCUGGCCCAAUACUGACACUCAGGUGCGACAGCGUGGGGAGCAAACAGG